CCCCCCUCAAGAUGAGAUUUCCCAAUUAGUAAGACCCCUUGAAGACGACGAGGUAGAUAGGUUGGAGGUGGAAGUGCAGCAAUGCAUGGAGCUGACCAAUACUAAUCGGUCGAGGGCUUAUCCAAG
rnacentral:rRNA from 1 species